GGCUAUGUAGUUUAAAUAAGACGUCAGGCUGCAAUCCUGAAAAUGUGAUCAGUACCUUAGCUU
rnacentral:tRNA from 1 species